GGGAUUAGUGGCGAACGGGUGAGUAACACGUGGGCAAUCUGCCCUGCACUCUGGGACAAGCCCUGGAAACGGGGUCUAAUACCGGAUACUGACCGACACGGGCAUCCGUGACGGUCGAAAGCUCCGGCGGUGCAGGAUGAGCCCGCGGCCUAUCAGCUUGUUGGUGAGGUAGUGGCUCACCAAGGCGACGACGGGUAGCCGGCCUGAGAGGGCGACCGGCCACACUGGGACUGAGACACGGCCCAGACUCCUACGGGAGGCAGCAGUGGGGAAUAUUGCACAAUGGGCGAAAGCCUGAUGCAGCGACGCCGCGUGAGGGAUGACGGCCUUCGGGUUGUAAACCUCUUUCAGCAGGGAAGAAGCGAAAGUGACGGUACCUGCAGAAGAAGCGCCGGCUAACUACGUGCCAGCAGCCGCGGUAAUACGUAGGGCGCAAGCGUUGUCCGGAAUUAUUGGGCGUAAAGAGCUCGUAGGCGGCUUGUCACGUCGGUUGUGAAAGCCCGGGGCUUAACCCCGGGUCUGCAGUCGAUACGGGCAGGCUAGAGUUCGGUAGGGGAGAUCGGAAUUCCUGGUGUAGCGGUGAAAUGCGCAGAUAUCAGGAGGAACACCGGUGGCGAAGGCGGAUCUCUGGGCCGAUACUGACGCUGAGGAGCGAAAGCGUGGGGAGCGAACAGGAUUAGAUACCCUGGUAGUCCACGCCGUAAACGGUGGGCACUAGGUGUGGGCAACAUUCCACGUUGUCCG
rnacentral:rRNA from 1 species